rnacentral:rRNA from 1 species
UACGAAGGGGGCUAGCGUUGUUCGGAAUUACUGGGCGUAAAGGGCUCGUAGGCGGCCAACUAAGUCAGACGUGAAAUCCCUCGGCUUAACCGGGGAAUGGCGUCUGAUACUGGAUGGCUUGAAUCCGGGAGAGGGAUGCGGAAUUCCAGGUGUAGCGGUGAAAUGCGUAGAUAUCUGGAGGAACACCGGUGGCGAAGGCGGCAUCCUGGACCGGCAUUGACGCUGAGGAGCGAAAGCCAGGGGAGCAAACGGG